GAGGAAUUUUGGUCAAGAUUUCUGCCCUAAAGCUGUCCAACUAAGUUCUUGAGAAUGAUUGAUGGAAUGAAGUUGGAAGAAAGUUAGAAAUUUGGAAAAGGAUCUCAAGAGGACUUCGAGGGAACUCCCGGCGAAGCGUCUUAGAGCUAAUUUCUCAAACUUUGACUUUUGAUACUUGGUUUGGAAGUGGAAGUUCUGAGGCUUAAUUAGUGACCCCCAAAAAUAAUUUUUCCCCACAGGGCUCGAGGCCAAAGAAAGCGCUUGUAUUGAGUUAUUAGUGCCUGAAGGGAUAUCUCAUAUGUAAUUUGAAUUCGAUUCACUUGAUAAGUAUUUGAUGUAAUUAUUUGAGAACUGAGGACUUUUGUCUUAUUCGGGGAAUGAUACCCUUACUUGAGAUUUGUAAUGUAUCUUA